rnacentral:rRNA from 1 species
CCCGACUCCAAGAAGCUGGAUUCGCUAGUAAUCGCGCAUCAGCCACGGCGCGGUGAAUACGUUCCCGGGCCUUGUACACACCGCCCGUCAAGCCAUGGAAGCCGGGAGUGCCUGAAGUACGCGACCNCAAGGAGCGUCCUAAGGUAAAACCGGUGACUGGGGCUAAGUCGUAACAAGGUAGC